rnacentral:rRNA from 1 species
GACGAACGCUGGCGGCGUGCUUAACACAUGCAAGUCGAACGGAAAGGCCCUGCUUGCCGGGUACACGAGUGGCGAACGGGUGAGUAACACGUGGGUGAUCUGCCCUGCACUUUGGGAUAAGCCUGGGAAACUGGGUCUAAUACCGGAUAGGUGCCAUUUUUAGUGUGAUGGUUGGAAAGUUUUUUCCGUGUAGGAUGAGGUCGCGGCCUCUCAGCUUGUUGGUGGGGUAAUGGCCUACCAAGGCGGCGACGGGUAGCCGGCCUGGGAGGGUGGACGGCCACAUUGGGGCUGGGGAACGGCCCAGACCCCUACGGGGAGCAACAGUGGGGAAUAUUGCACAAUGGGCGCGAGCCUGAUGCAGCGACGCCGCGUGGGGGAUGACGGCCUUCGGGUUGUAAACUCCUUUCGCUAGGGACGAAGCUGUUUGUGACGGUACCUAGAGAAGAAGCACCGGCUAACUACGUG